rnacentral:rRNA from 1 species
GGCCUGCGCGGAAGAUGUAACGGGGCUAAACCAUGCACCGAAGCUGCGGCAGCGACACUAUGUGUUGUUGGGUAGGGGAGCGUUCUGUAAGCCUGUGAAGGUGUACUGUGAGGUAUGCUGGAGGUAUCAGAAGUGCGAAUGCUGACAUAAGUAACGAUAAAGCGGGUGAAAAGCCCGCUCGCCGGAAGACCAAGGGUUCCUGUCCAACGUUAAUCGGGGCAGGGUGAGUCGACCCCUAAGGCGAGGCCGAAAGGCGUAGUCGAUGGGAAACAGGUUAAUAUUCCUGUACUUGGUGUUACUGCGAAGGGGGGACGGAGAAGGCUAUGUUGGCCGGGCGACGGUUGUCCCGGUUUAAGCGUGUAGGCUGGUUUUCUAGGAAAAUCCGGAAAACCAAGGCUGAGGCGUGAUGACGAGGCACUACGGUGCUGAAGCAACAAAUGCCCUGCUUCCAGGAAAAGCCUCUAAGCAUCAGGUAACAUCAAAUCGUACCCCAAACCGACACAGGUGGUCAGGUAGAGAAUACCAAGGCGCUUGAGAGAACUCGGGUGAAGGAACUAGGCAAAAUGGUGCCGUAACUUCGGGAGAAGGCACGCUGAUAUGUAGGUGAAGUCCCUCGCGGAUGGAGCUGAAAUCAGUCGAAGAUACCAGCUGGCUGCAACUGUUUAUUAAAAACACAGCACUGUGCAAACACGAAAGUGGACGUAUACGGUGUGACGCCUGCCCGGUGCCGGAAGGUUAAUUGAUGGGGUCAGCGCAAGCGAAGCUCUUGAUCGAAGCCCCGGUAAACGGCGGCCGUAACUAUAACGGUCCUAAGGUAGCGAAAUUCCUUGUCGGGUAAGUUCCGACCUGCACGAAUGGCGUAAUGAUGGCCAGGCUGUCUCCACCCGAGACUCAGUGAAAUUGAACUCGCUGUGAAGAUGCAGUGUACCCGCGGCAAGACGGAAAGACCCCGUGAACCUUUACUAUAGCUUGACACUGAACAUUGAGCCUUGAUGUGUAGGAUAGGUGGGAGGCUUUGAAGUGUGGACGCCAGUCUGCAUGGAGCCGACCUUGAAAUACCACCCUUUAAUGUUUGAUGUUCUAACGUAGACCCGUGAUCCGGGUUGCGGACAGUGUCUGGUGGGUAGUUUGACUGGGGCGGUCU